rnacentral:snRNA from 1 species
AUACUUACCUGGCAGGGGAGAUACCAUGAUCACGAAGGUGGUUUUCCCAGGGCGAGGCUUAUCCAUUGCACUCCAGAUGUGCUGACCCCUGCGAUUCCCCCAAAUGUGGGAAACUCGACUGCAUAAUUUGUGGUAGUGGGGGACUGCGUUCGCGCUCUCCCCUG